CCUACGGGUGGCAGCAGUCGGGAAUAUUGCGCAAUGGAGGAAACUCUGACGCAGUGACGCCGCGUGCAGGAAGAAGGUUUUCGGAUUGUAAACUGCUUUAGACCGGGAAGAAAAACGACAGUACCUGUAGCAUAAGCUCCGGCUAACUACGUGCCAGCAGCCGCGGUAAUUCGUAGGGGGCAAGCGUUAUCCGGAUUUACUGGGGGUAAAGGGUGCGUAGACGGAGAAGCAAGUUAGUUGUGAAAUCCCUCGGCUUAACUGAGGAACUGCAACUAAAACUAGUUCCCUUGAGUACUGGAGAGGAAAGUGGAAUGCCUAGUGUAGCGGUGAAAUGCGUAGAUAUCAGGAGGAACACCGGUGGCGAAGGCGGCUUUCUGGAGAGUAACUGACGUUGAGGCACGAAAGUGUGGGGAGCAAACAGGAUUAGAUACCCCGGUAGUC
rnacentral:rRNA from 1 species